CUAUAAAUCAAGCCCCCAUAAACCCAUGCAACCUCCAACGCUGAGAUACACUAAACCAUUUUGUCGACUUAGUAAAGGCGAUUGAAAAGUCUCUAAGAGCCCUAAACAAAGUACCGCAAGGGAAAGAUGAAAUAAUAAUUAAAACCCAAGCCCAAAAAAGCAAAGACUAACCCUUGUACCUUUUGCAUCAUGAUCUAGCAAGUCUAAUCAAGCAAAACGAUAUUUUAGUUUGCCCCCCCGAAACUAAGCGAGCUACUUCAAAACAGCUCUAAGAGCUAACCCGUCCCUGUUGCAAAAGGGUGGGGAGAUUUUCAAGUAGGGGUUACAAGCCUACCGAGCUUAGUGAUAGCUGGUUAUUCAGGAAACAGAUUUUAGUCUGCCCUUAAGCUUCCCAGUAACUUAAAUACUCAAAUAAACUUAAGAGCCACUCAAGCAAGGUACAGCCUGCUUGAGACAGGAGACAACCUGAAGUCUAGGGUAAUGCCACAAACCACAACAAAGUAGGCCUAACAGCAGCCACCUUCAAAAAAGCGUCAAAGCUUAAUUGUACCCGAUCUAAAUCCCAUGAGACCCACAAACCCCGCACCUACCACUGAAUUACUCUAUUUUAAUAUAGAAAUACUUAUGCUAGAACUAGUAACUAGAAAAUUUCACCCAGAUACAAGCUUAAGCCACAUACCACUGGCACUCAUCGCUAUGACUCUUCAGUAGCAACUAAACUAGAAAACCCUACUGCACCCAACGUUUACCUAACACAAGAGUAUCACAGGUAAGAUUAAAAAAAGAGGAAGGAACUCGGCAAAUAUUAACCCCGCCUGUUUACCAAAAACAUCGCCUUCAGAAUGACCAUUGAAGGUCCAGCCUGCCCAGUGAAGUUUUAAACGGCCGCGGUAUCCUAACCGUGCUAAGGUAGCGCAAUCACUUGUCCCCUAAAUCGGGACUAGUAUGAACGGCAUCACGAGGGUUACACUGUCUCCCCCUUUUAAUCAGUGAAACUGACCCCCCCGUGAAGAGGCGGGGAUUCAGAUAUAAGACGAGAAGACCCCAUGGAGCUUCAAAUACAUGCCACCUGCCUCCCCAUACCAUUGCAACAAGGCAAAUCUGACCACUGUUUUAGGUUGGGGCGACCACGGAGUAAAACACAACCUCCGCGACGAACUUUCAAUUUAAGAACAACAACUCAAGAAAUCAAAAUUGACGUAAUUGACCCAAAUAUCUUAUUUGAUCAACGAACCAAGUUACCCUGGGGAUAACAGCGCUAUCCAUUUCAAGAGCCCCUAUCAACAAAUGGGUUUACGACCUCGAUGUUGGAUCAGGAUAUCCUAGUGGUGCAACCGCUACUAAUGGUUCGUUUGUUCAACGAUUAAAAUCCUACGUGAUCUGAGUUCAAACCGGAGCAAUCCAGGUUGGUUUCUAUCUAUCAGGGGGUCUUUCCCAGUACGAAAGGACCGGAAAAACACGGCCAAUACUCAAAGUAAGCCGUCACUGAAAAUUAGUGAAUCUAACUAAACUAUUCCUCAGUCCACAACCCAAUCCCAGACAAUGAU
rnacentral:rRNA from 1 species